rnacentral:tRNA from 1 species
GCACCUGUAGCUCAGCUGGAUAGAGCACUUGGCUUCGGACCAAGGGGUCGUGGGUUCGAAUCCUGCCGGGUGCA